rnacentral:rRNA from 1 species
GACGAACGCUGGCGGCGUGCCUAAUACAUGCAAGUUGAACGCUUCUUUCUUAUCGAACUUCGGUUCACCAAGAAAGAAGAGUAGCGAACGGGUGAGUAACACGUGGGUAACCUGCCCAUCAGUGGGGGAUAACACUUGGAAACAGGUGCUAAUACCGCAUAAUACUUUUUCUCUCAUGAGUGAAAGUUGAAAGGCGCUUUUGCGUCACUAAUGGAUGGACCCGCGGUGCAUUAGCUAGUUGGUAGGGUAACGGCCUACCAAGGCAACGAUGCAUAGCCGGCCUGAGAGGAGAUCGGCAACACUGGGACUGAGACCGGGCCCAGAGUCCUACGGGAGGCAGCAGUAGGGAAUCUUCGGCAAUGGACGAAAGUCUGACCGAGCAACGCCGCGUGAGUGAAGAAGGUUUUCGGAUCGUAAAACUCUGUUGUUAGAGAAGAACAAGGAUGAGAAGAGAAUGUUCAUCCCUUGACGGUAUCUAAACAGAAAGCCACGGCUAACUACGUGCCAGCCGCCGCGGUAA